GUUUCCUUUCUACGAAGCCUGAUUAGUAGCAUGUUAUAUAUUUAUUUACAUAUCUAUUCAUUUAUUUUUGGAUGAAAGGGUGUGUUUCAUCUUGAACGUCUAGGAAACUGUCUAUCAGUAAAAGUUGUCAGAGCAGGAACUCAAGGUAGGAACCCAAAGACAGAAACUGAAAGAGAAGCCAUGGAGGAAUGCUUCUUCCUGGCUGGUUCCUCAUAACUUGCUCAACCUGCUCUCUUAUAACAUCCAGGACCACCUCAUUGUUGGCACUGCCUUUAGUCAUCAGGAGCCACCUACAUCAAUCACUAUUAAAGAAAGUGCACCAAUGACUUACCAGGGCAAUCUUAGUUUCAAUUAAGAGGGCCUCUUCCCAGGUAUGUUCAGGUUUUGUUAGCAUGCCAUUUAAACACAUAAAUGGACAUGUAUGUAUAAUCACUUCAGACCUUUGUGCCUUGUGGUUUCGAGAGCUCUCUAAGUGUGCUCAGAGUUGAUAUUAGGUAGUCUUCUCAACCUGACAGGUGGUAUGUAAUUAGCACACCAAUGCUUUUAACCACGAGUGCUUAUCAAGGUUUCCAUGGAAUGUUUCACAGUACAUAUGCCUUUAUAUUUGGGACAUCUCUAAAGUGGAUUCAACAACAGUUCCCUGGAAUGUUCAAAAUAAUUCAAGGCACAAAGUAACCUAUAUAUUUAAACAGUUCCUUUACACCUUAGCCACGUGCUUGUUAAGAUCUUAUGGAAACAGACUUUGUUUUUUUUUUUUUUUGUUGUUUUGUUUUUGUUUUUGUUUUGUUUGUUUUGUUUUGUUUUUUCUCUCCCAAUGUCAGGCUUUCAUCAGCAAAGUUUUCUGUGCCUAUUUAAUGUCUCAAAGACUUGAAAUAGAAAUUUUCUUCCCAGAUCCCUUUUUGGGAGAGUCUGCUAUUGAUGGCUGAUUAUAGUCUAUGGGUUUGUUUUGUUUUUUUGUCUUUCCAUGAACUAUUAUAUCAAUUGUGGAAGUUGAGUUUCUAGAUUGUUGAAGGCUUAAGGCUUACCCUUACCCUUUUUUUUUUUUUUUUUCCUUUCACAAAUGAGUUGAGAGUUAAUGUUGGCUGUUUUGUUCUAGUUAAAAAUAAAACAUUCAGAGAUGUCUGGCAUUAAGGUGGAUGGAGAUGAUGUGGGUUAUUGUUCAAUGUUCUUGAAGUAUAGGUCACUGGAUGCUUUUGGUCUGUGCACCUCUGUUUCCACUGAUGCUUUCCAAAGCAGUCCACACAAAAGGCUUAACAUUUCUCCAAUUGACACACAGGGUACACAUAUAAAAGUAUACAAUCUACCCAAAGCAACUAUAUAAAAGAUUAAAAGACAGUUUACCCAUUCAUGGCCUGCUUUUACAAGCAACAAUAUAAGAAUUCUGUUUCUUACUAAGAAUAUAGAGAUAGGGAGUUUAAAAUGUUAUAAAAAUAUUUUAUAUGAGUUUUAAAAUGUUUGGAAAUUUCGUUCAAUGUUUAUUUCAUGUAUAAACUCUAUAAUGGAGUAAUUAUAAUGCCCUCAAAUACAUUGAGCCUAGAGUUACUCGCUUACUUAUUAAACGCAUAACAAAGUCUAAUUAGAGAAAAGACUUAUCCUAAAUAUUGGUUAUGGCUAUUUAAAAGUGAUCCAAACAGAAAUAUUUUUGUUCUUAAGUAGGUAAAACAUUUUUUUUUCUACCUAAGCUUUCAAGGCUAAUAAACAUGAAAUAUUUGUUAUACAACACAGGAAGAAAUUAGAAUGAACUCACUUCUACUUAGUUCCUUUUACAUAUCCUUUAGACUGACAGACUGACACUUUAUGAAUUCAAUAUUACUUAAAUUAUUAUGAAUUACUAAAAAUAUAUAUACUUUGCAAAUACUGAAAGGUUAACUCAGAAGACCAGUGAUUAGCAUAGUAUUAAUUUUGUAUCAGUAUUUCAAAUGACUCUGGGAAACAUACUCUAUGCUGAUACCAACCAUAGCUGAUAAUAAAUAUAACAUCUUUAUUUACAUUAAAAUCCUGGAUCAAAUAAGUGGCAAAAUGUCUUUGUAGCAUUUUAUAAUGCAUUUUGCUGUGCAUAAAUAUUAGUAUACCUCAUAAUGCUGGUAUGUUAAAGGGUACAGUACUGGAGGUUGGAUCUUGAAAUUUUAUGAGUUAUUGGGUUUUUGAAACAUAGAGUACAUUUGAAAUACAUCUUACACAAUCUUAGUGGUUUAUUGAAAUCUAUACUAGCCUGGAAACAAAGUCUUAGAAAUGAAAUAUUUUAGUUACAUGCAAUUGUAAGAACUGAAUUUAGACUUCACUGUUCUCUCUUGUUUUCUCUUACCCCAUUGUAGAUUUCAAAAGAUUCUUUCCAUGUCUCCUUAUAGCCCGUGCUCUAACAUUACCAUGUUAGUGUUCUCUACUGAGCAGGUUUGAUAUCAGAUCACUCAAUGACCCUAAGAAUUUUUGUACCCCAUCAUGAAAAUCUGCUACAGAAGAGUAAUUGUAAUUACAUCUAUGAAGAUUACAGAUUCUGACUAUACAAAAUACUAUGGCACAGAC
rnacentral:lncRNA from 1 species